rnacentral:rRNA from 1 species
CCCUUAGACGUUCUGGGCCGCACGCGCGCUACACUGACCAGUGCAACAAGCAUCCGUCCUUGGCCGACAGGCCCGGGCAAUCUUUGAACGCUGGUCGUGAUGGGGAUAGACUUUUGCAAUUUUUGGUCUUCAACGAGGAAUUCCUAGUAAACGCAAGUCAUCAACUUGCAUUGAUUACGUCCCUGCCCUUUGUACACACCGCCCGUCGCACCUACCGAUUGAAUGGUCCGGUGAAGCCUCCGGAUUGGGGCGCACCUCGGUGCCGCCGAGAAGUUGGCUAAACCUUACCAUUUAGAGGAAGGUGAAGUCGUAACA